CCUGUACAACAGCCCGCUGGCUCGCACGGGGUGCUCUUCAUCGAGUGUCUCGGGUGGCCGGCAGAGUUUACUUUGAAAAAAUUAGAGUGCUCAAAGCAGGCUACACUGACGGCCUGAAUGCCUAUGCAUGGAAUAAUGGAAUAGGACCUCGGUUCUAUUUUGUCGGUUUUCUGAACCCGAGGUAAUGACUAAUAGGAACAGGCGGGGGCAUUCGUAUUGCGACGCUAGAGGUGAAAUUCUUGGACCGUCGCAAGACGAACUACUGCGAAAGCAUUUGCCAAGGAUGUUUUCAUUAAUCAAGAACGAAAGUUAGAGGUUCGAAGGCGAUCAGAUACCGCCCUAGUUCUAACCAUAAACGAUGCUGACCAGCGAUCCGCCGGCGUUAUUCCCAUGACCCGGCGGGCAGCUUCCGGGAAACCAAAGUCUUUGGGUUCCGGGGGAAGUAUGGUUGCAAAGCUGAAACUUAAAGGAAUUGACGGAAGGGCACCACCAGGAGUGGAGCCUGCGGCUUAAUUUGACUCAACACGGGGAACCUCACCAGGCCCAGACACCGGAAGGAUUGACAGAUUGAGAGCUCUUUCUCGAUUCGGUGGGUGGUGGUGCAUGGCCGUUCUUAGUUGGUGGAGCGAUUUGUCUGGUUAAUUCCGAUAAC
rnacentral:rRNA from 1 species